rnacentral:rRNA from 1 species
CUUGGUCAUUUAGAGGAAGUAAAAGUCGUAACAAGGUCUCCGUAGGUGAACCUGCGGAGGGAUCAUUACACAAAUAUGAAGGCGGGCUGGAACCUCUCGGGGUUACAGCCUUGCUGAAUUAUUCACCCUUGUCUUUUGCGUACUUCUUGUUUCCUUGGUGGGUUCGCCCACCACUAGGACAAACAUAAACCUUUUGUAAUUGCAAUCAGCGUCAGUAACAAAUUAAUAAUUACAACUUUCAACAACGGAUCUCUUGGUUCUGGCAUCGAUGAAGAACGCAGCGAAAUGCGAUAAGUAGUGUGAAUUGCAGAAUUCAGUGAAUCAUCGAAUCUUUGAACGCACAUUGCGCCCUUUGGUAUUCCAAAGGGCAUGCCUGUUCGAGCGUCAUUUGUACCCUCAAGCUUUGCUUGGUGUUGGGCGUCUUGUCUCUAGCUUUGCUGGAGACUCGCCUUAAAGUAAUUGGCAGCCGGCCUACUGGUUUCGGAGCGCAGCACAAGUCGCACUCUCUAUCAGCAAAGGUCUAGCAUCCAUUAAGCCUUUUUUUCAACUUUUGACCUCGGAUCAGGUAGGGAUACCCGCUGAACUUAAGCAUAUCAAUAAGCGGAGGAAAAGAAACCAACAGGGAUUGCCCUAGUAACGGCGAGUGAAGCGGCAACAGCUCAAAUUUGAAAUCUGGCUCUUUUAGAGUCCGAGUUGUAAUUUGCAGAGGGCGCUUUGGCUUUGGCAGCGGUCCAAGUUCCU